rnacentral:rRNA from 1 species
CAGUAGCCGCGGUAAUACGAAGGGUGCAAGCGUUAAUCGGAAUUACUGGGCGUAAAGCGUGCGUAGGUGGUGAGUUAAGUCUGCUGUGAAAUCCCCGGGCUCAACCUGGGAAUGGCAGUGGAUACUGGCUCGCUAGAGUAUGGCAGAGGGGGGUGGAAUUCCACGUGUAGCAGUGAAAUGCGUAGAGAUGUGGAGGAACACCGAUGGCGAAGGCAGCCCCCUGGACCAAUACUGACGCUCAUGCACGAAAGCGUGGGGAGCAAACAGGAUUAGAUACCCCGGUAGUCCCUGUCUCUUAUAC